UGGGGAAUAUUGCACAAUGGGCGCAAGCCUGAUGCAGCCAUGCCGCGUGUAUGAAGAAGGCCUUCGGGUUGUAAAGUACUUUCAGUCGGGAGGAAGGUGUCAAGGUUAAUAACCUUGGCAAUUGACGUUACCGACAGAAGAAGCACCGGCUAACUCCGUGCCAGCAGCCGCGGUAAUACGGAGGGUGCAAGCGUUAAUCGGAAUUACUGGGCGUAAAGCGCACGCAGGCGGUUGAUUGAGUCAGAUGUGAAAUCCCCGGGCUUAACCCGGGAAGUGCAUCUGAUACUGGUCAGCUAGAGUCUUGUAGAGGGGGGUAGAAUUCCAUGUGUAGCGGUGAAAUGCGUAGAGAUGUGGAGGAAUACCGGUGGCGAAGGCGGCCCCCUGGACAAAGACUGACGCUCAGGUGCGAAAGCGUGGGGAGCAAACAGG
rnacentral:rRNA from 1 species